rnacentral:lncRNA from 1 species
AGAAAAUCUCUGAACUAAUCUCCCAACCCAUAUGUGUAUUAGUAUGAUGAUGUCAAACUCAAAUAGAAACAGAGGACACUAAGCCACACAUAAAUAUCCCUCUUAGUUUUGUAUUGACUUAGAAAAUCAUCUACUAACAUUAUCCAUGUUCUAUUAUAUUUUAACUUUUUGUCAAUUAUUUCCCAACUAUAUCUCAGUCUGCUGUGGGCCACACUGGAGAAUGUUGAAGAUCAAUCACAUGAUGCCUCUGUACUGAUAAGGAUCCCAAAGCCCUAGAAGAUGAAGAGAAAUUAAAAUGGAAACAAUAAGAUAACACAGGUAGUGAAUAAAGCACUGGAUUUUAAGAAAGUUCA